UGAACUACAUUAGUAUUUGGUGGGGGACAAGUACCAUCAACAAAAGCAAUUUUAUUCUUAGCGGAUAACACCACUAUCAUCUUCCUCUUCCAUCCCCCAAAACCACUACCCGAAAAAGGAACAGGGACAAGGGAAACACCAGGAACAUCGGAAGAAUGGACAAAGAGAGGACUUGUGGGAUCAAUAGAGGAAGCACUAGUAUUACUCAUAUCUACUAUCAGGAUCAGGAAUAACAGCGAAGUAAAAAAAUUGAUAUUCAAUUUCUGCCAACAAUUCAACACACUAGAUUUUCACCAGAAAACACAUGCAAAAUCCCUAACUACAAGUGAGAAUAGAUUUAACCAACUUCUUCGCUACCGGAGAAGAACGACCUUCAGAAUACAAUCAAAACCCUAGCUCCGAGUGAUACUAACCCAAAACUUGUAGCUCCACUGGAAUUAAGCUCAAAACGUCAGAAGUCUACCCAAAACGCCGAGCUGAGAAGAAUAUCAACAGGUGUGAACCAGAAGAGGCUUCGAUUCACCAACAACCAAAAAAAACAAAACUUCGAUUCAUCAAUAAAACCUCAACAAAACUGAACCGGGUUAAGAUCGGACGAAGAAUGAAGAAGAACCGUCCCAGAAUCCACGCUCUGAUACCAUGAAAAUAUAGCAGAUUGAAGAGAAUGAAAUUUACAUGAAGG
rnacentral:lncRNA from 1 species